rnacentral:rRNA from 1 species
GCGGCGUGCUUAACACAUGCAAGUCGAACGAAGAUUGUUGGAAUGAGAGCUUCGGCAGGAUUUCCUUCCAUCUUAGUGGCGGACGGGUGAGUAACGUGUGGGCAACCUGCCCUGUACUGGGGAAUAAUCAUUGGAAACGAUGACUAAUACCGCAUGUGGUCCUCGGAAGGCAUCUUCUGAGGAAGAGAGGAUUUAUUCGGUACAGGAUGGGCCCGCAUCUGAUUAGCUAGUUGGUGAGAUAACAGCCCACCAAGGCGACGAUCAGUAGCCGACCUGAGAGGGUGAUCGGCCACAUUGGGACUGAGACACGGCCCAAACUCCUACGGGAGGCAGCAGUGGGGAAUAUUGCACAAUGGGCGAAAGCCUGAUGCAGCAACGCCGCGUGAAGGAUGAAGGGUUUCGGCUCGUAAACUUCUAUCAAUAGGGAAGAAAGAAAUGACGGUACCUAAAUAAGAAGCCCCGGCUAACUACGUGCCAGCAGCCGCGGUAAUACGUAGGGGGCAAGCGUUAUCCGGAAUUACUGGGUGUAAAGGGAGCGUAGGCGGCAUGGUAAGCCAGAUGUGAAAGCCUUGGGCUUAACCCGAGGAUUGCAUUUGGAACUAUCAAGCUAGAGUACAGGAGAGGAAAGCGGAAUUCCUAGUGUAGCGGUGAAAUGCGUAGAUAUUAGGAAGAACACCAGUGGCGAAGGCGGCUUUCUGGACUGAAACUGACGCUGAGGCUCGAAAGCGUGGGGAGCAAACAGGAUUAGAUACCCUGGUAGUCCACGCUGUAAACGAUGAGUGCUAGGUGUUGGGGAGGAAUCCUCGGUGCCGCAGCUAACGCAAUAAGCACUCCACCUGGGGGAGUACGACCGCAAGGGUGAAACUCAAAGGAAUUGACGGGGGCCCGCACAAGCGGUGGAGCAUGUGGUUUAAUUCGAAGCAACGCGAAGAACCUUACCAAGGCUUGACAUCCCGAUGACCGCUCUAGAGAUAGAGCUUCUCUUCGGAGCAUCGGUGACAGGUGGUGCAUGGUUGUCGUCAGCUCGUGUCGUGAGAUGUUGGGUUAAGUCCCGCAACGAGCGCAACCCUUAUCUUCAGUAGCCAUCAUUCAGUUGGGCACUCUGGAGAGACUGCCGUGGAUAACACGGAGGAAGGUGGGGAUGACGUCAAAUCAUCAUGCCCCUUAUGUCUUGGGCUACACACGUGCUACAAUGGCUGGUAACAAAGUGACGCAAGACGGCGACGUUAAGCAAAUCACAAAAACCCAGUCCCAGUUCGGAUUGUAGUCUGCAACUCGACUACAUGAAGCUGGAAUCGCUAGUAAUCGCGAAUCAGCAUGUCGCGGUGAAUACGUUCCCGGGCCUUGUACACACCGCCCGUCACACCAUGGGAGUUGGAAGCACCCGAAGUCGGUGACCUAACCGUAAGGAAGGAGCCGCCGAAGGUGAAGCCAGUGACUGGGGUGAAGUCAUAAC